GACGAACGCUGGCGGCGCGCUUAACACAUGCAAGUCGAACGGAAAGGCCUGCUUUCCCUUGUGGAUUGCGGGUACUCGAGUGUCGAACGGGUGAGUAACACGUGAGUGAUCUGCCCCCAACUUGGGUAUAAGCCUGGGAAACUGGGUCUAAUUCCCGAUAGGACUGCAGGGUGGUGCCUGUGGUUGAAAACGAUUUUCUAGUGGUUGGGGAUGAGCUCGCGGCCUAUCAGCUUGUUGGUGGGGUAAUGGCCUACCAAGGCGGGGACGGGUAGCCGGCCGGAGAGGGUGGACGGCAAAAUGGGGAAUGAGAAACGGCCAAGACGCCGACGGGAGGCAGGAGUGGGGAAUAUUGCACAAUGGGCGGAAGCCUGAAGAAGCGACGCCGCGUGGGGGAUGACGGCCUUCGGGUUGUAAACUCCUUUGGACCGAGAGGAAGCCACCUGGUUGGAAGGGUGGUGACGGUAGUGGUAGAAGAAGCACCGGCUAACUACGUG
rnacentral:rRNA from 1 species